UUAAAAUUGAAUGGCGAAUGUCGGUAUGGUCUCUUUUUCAAAAGAGGUUUCGAUCAAGCGAAGUGACUAGACCGAACACUCGUGCUAUAAUUUUAAAAU
rnacentral:pre_miRNA from 14 species